AAUGCCUAGGAAUCUGCCUGGUAGUGGGGGAAAACGUUCGGAAACGGACGCUAAUACCGCAUACGUCCUACGGGAGAAAGCAGGGGACCUUCGGGCCUUGCGCUAUCAGAUGAGCCUAGGUCGGAUUAGCUAGUUGGUGAGGUAAUGGCUCACCAAGGCGACGAUCCGUAACUGGUCUGAGAGGAUGAUCAGUCACACUGGAACUGAAACACGGUCCAGACUCCUACGGGAGGCAGCAGUGGGGAAUAUUGGACAAUGGGCGAAAGCCUGAUCCAGCCAUGCCGCGUGUGUGAAGAAGGUCUUCGGAUUGUAAAGCACUUUAAGUUGGGAGGAGGGGUUGUAGAUUAAUACUCUGCAAUUUUGACGUUACCGACAGAAUAAGCACCGGCUAACUCUGUGCCAGCAGCCGCGGUAAUACAGAGGGUGCAAGCGUUAAUCGGAAUUACUGGGCGUAAAGCGCGCGUAGGUGGUUUGUUAAGUUGGAUGUGAAAUCCCCGGGCUCAACCUGGGAACUGCAUUCAAAACUGACUGACUAGAGUAUGGUAGAGGGUGGUGGAAUUUCCUGUGUAGCGGUGAAAUGCGUAGAUAUAGGAAGG
rnacentral:rRNA from 1 species